GUGUUUCAGCAACACAUAUACUAAAUUUGGAACGAUACAGAGAUUAACAUGGCCCCUGCACAAGGAUGACACGCAAAUUCGUGAAGCAUUCCAUAUUUUU
ensembl:snRNA U6 U6 spliceosomal RNA